AUUGAACGCUGGCGGCAGGCCUAACACAUGCAAGUCGAGCGCGAAAGGUCUUCGGACUGAGUAGAGCGGCGGACGGGUGAGUAACGCGUAGGAAUCUACCUGGUGGUGGGGGACAACAUGGUGAAAACCAUGCUAAUACCGCAUACGCCCUAUGGGGGAAAGCGGGGGACCUUCGGGCCUCGCGCUAUCAGAUGAGCCUGCGUAGGAUUAGCUUGUUGGUGAGGUAAAGGCUCACCAAGGCGACGAUCCUUAGCUGGUCUGAGAGGAUGAUCAGCCACACUGGAACUGAGACACGGUCCAGACUCCUACGGGAGGCAGCAGUGGGGAAUAUUGCGCAAUGGGCGAAAGCCUGACGCAGCCAUGCCGCGUGUGUGAAGAAGGCCUUUGGGUUGUAAAGCACUUUCAAUUGGGAAGAAAGGUUGCGUGUUAAUAGCACGUAGCUGUGA
rnacentral:rRNA from 1 species